rnacentral:misc_RNA from 1 species
CAACCAUCAAGCACAGCUUGGCAAUGGGCGACGUCUCCCCUAGACGGGAGGCGCGCCCCAAAACAGUCGGCAGAGUCACGCGGACCCGCCGGGCGUAGCAGAAAAGGAAGGCAGACGCCGACCCCUCACGCCCCAAGCGACCGCGCCUUGCGCCGUAAAACCAAUGGCCCGCGAGGGUCGUCUCCAAAA